UUUGACUCUUCGUCUUAUUUAAAGUUUUUUUGUGAUUCGUAUUUUUAUUGUUACUAGAUGAUAAAAUAUUAAUAGUACUUUAUGCAUGAAUAAUUUUUUUAACUUUUUAUAUAAAUUUUUCAAAUAAGAUGAAUGGUCAGACACAGAAAUCAA
rnacentral:pre_miRNA from 1 species